rnacentral:misc_RNA from 1 species
GUAUAUGUUUUAUAGGCACAACAUUCUAUCGACAUACAUUGGGGUAAAUGAAACGACAUAGACCUGAAAAGGUCUACAAAAGGUGCACAGGUGGAGAUAUAAAAAUGACAAGGCGUGCACAUGCUCCUGAGAGCCAGCAGCAACCCAACCAAGUUUAUUCAAUAAUGAUCCUUCCGCAGGUUCACCUACGGAAA